rnacentral:rRNA from 1 species
UACAGAGGGUGCGAGCGUUAAUCGGAAUUACUGGGCGUAAAGCGCGCGUAGGCGGUUUGUUAAGUCAGCUGUGAAAGCCCCGGGCUCAACCUGGGAACUGCAGUUGAUACUGUCCGACUAGAGUACGAGAGAGGGAGGUAGAAUUCCAUGUGUAGCGGUGAAAUGCGUAGAUAUAUGGAGGAAUACCAGUGGCGAAGGCGGCCUCCUGGCUCGAUACUGACGCUGAGGUGCGAAAGCGUGGGGAUCAAACAGG